rnacentral:tRNA from 1 species
GGAAGUGUGCCUGAAUAUAUAAGGAUCACUGUGAUAAAGUGGGCAUAGAGGUAUACCAGUCCUCUCACUUCCU